rnacentral:rRNA from 1 species
UACGGAGGGUGCAAGCGUUGUCCGGAUUCACUGGGCUUAAAGGGUUCGUAGGCGGGUUGGUACGUCAGUGGUGAAAUCUCUGGGCUUAACCCGGAAAUUGCCAUUGAUACUAUAUAUCUUGAAUGCUGUGGAGGUAAGCGGAAUAUGUCAUGUAGCGGUGAAAUGCUUAGAUAUGACAUAGAACACCUAUUGCGAAGGCAGCUUACUACGCAGAUAUUGACGCUCAUGCACGCAAGCGUGGGGAUCAAACAGG